UCCCUGCAAAUUUUUUUGUCACAGAGAAUUGGAAAAUGUCCAUGCCUUGCAAAAAAUUCACUCAUCACUAGUGAAUGGUGAAAACCCUGUAGAGUAAGUCAGAUCACACGGAAUUGGGAGGGGGAGCAAAUUAUGAUGGGAGAGGGAGAGAGGAGCAGACUGAGCAGAAGGAAGUCUAACACAGAAGACCAUGUACACAAAAGAAGAAAAUGAAUCCUGUGUCUCUUUUGAUAGAGCACUUGCAGCUUUUCUGCAGUGCUUAUGGCUGUAUAUACAUAGACGUUUCUGAUAAAGCUUACUUAUACUGAGUGAGUAAAUAGUGACACAAACAUGAAGAUAUAGUCUCUGGGGCUUAUUAGUAUUGGUGCUAAAUUGCACUAAGACCAUACAAGGGUUGGGACUGAUUUACCAACAUAGAUUUUAAGUUGCACCAGUGCAGUUAACAGUAGCAACAAUUUUUGACAAAUUUAUCACAAAAAUUGAUUGGUUGCUGCACUGGUGGAUUUCAGCAGCUUCAUCCAUUAGCCCAUUUUGCACUGUACACAAGUAUAUCAACAGAAGAAGAGUUAAUGUCUAGCUUAUACUAUGAAUCUGGGUUUUUGGUCAUAUAUCUGUAACUGAGACAUUUCCCCCCUUAGAGUAUUAUGCUACGUGAUUAUGAUGAAAAACCACAGCAUCAGCAUGAUUAACAGCUUGGCUGCCUUCCUGGGAUUCUAAUUGAGUAUACUCACCUGUAGCACUGCAAUCUGCUUCUCCAUCACAGGAAACAGCUGUCCCUCUUGGGCCAGGCAUAGAAGCAAGUGUCUGCUUGUGAUUGUGACUGUAAGCCAGUGGCUGUGUGCCAGCUAGUGAUGUUAUAAAUAGAUGUUGCCAGUCCAUGUACAAGAAACAUACAUUGGGAAGACAUGAUCAUCUGUGUGCGAAUUGGUGUGCCUGUUGAGAUGAGACAGUGAGGAGUUAUUGGAGCAUAAGGAGCAGUUGUUGAAAGCAUUGGAGUCACCUGGAGUGAAAUGCGCAUUGAGCCCCUAACACUCUAGGAGGCAACAGAGAAUUUAAUUUGCAGCUAUCCCCAUGCCACCCGAGUGGGAAAUUGAAUUUUGGAUUAUGUGUGAUUUUUCUGUGGGAUUUAACAAAGUUGUAUGGUAUUCCAGUCUCCUUUAUUCUCCAGGUGAAUUUGCAGAGGAAUUUAGUACAGCAAUAGCCUUUCAGUAAAGGAGAACACAUGUAAAUAUAAUCAUAUGGAGAUGGGUAGCAUAAGCAAAAUCCAUUGGAAGACAAGUUGCCCCCAAAUAAUCAAUGUAAACUUGUAAUACAAUACUUUCACAAGAAGUUUUAAUGUGACACCGGCUCCUAUCUACAAUUAAAAAGAAUCAGUUAUCAAUUAUUCUGCUGUUUUAUAGGUUAAUAGAUGAUGGCAUCACCUGGUUCUGACCCAGUUAUAAUGUAAUUUGAUGAGAUUACUUAAAUGCACAAAUGUCUUUGUCCUUUAGGUUUUACCGGGCAAAGCCCUAACUGGACUAAAUAGUGCAUAGAUCCUAUACACAAUCUAUCUGUAUCUGUAUAACUGCUAAUUUAACUCCGCUCUUGUUGGCAGAUGUAUAAGUACUGAAAUGCUCCUGACUUUUGGUCCUGAUAUUUAUGGGCUGGUGUAGUUCUGAUAAAAGCUUUCCAAAAUCACAAUGGAAAUAAUGGAAAUACAGUUUGAAUUCCACCUUCCUAGAGAAAUCACUUAGGGUAAUUGUCACUUAUCCUGGGCUAUUGGGGUAACAUUGAAAUUACUCAAGUGCAAGGGUGUGUGAUUCUCACCCCAGGGCUUUUCUCUGGUUAAUGUAAUCUGUACACGAAAACCAAGAGACAAUCAUGCAAUAACCCAAUGCAGACACAGCUUCUAUUUUAUAUUAAAUAGUUAUUAAUUCUUCUAUGUACUUUGCAGUCAUGUGGCUAUGUUCUUGGAUACAGCUUGGAUUACACAGGAAAUUUGUGCUAGUUACUUUGAUUGAGUGGUGAACUUGAAUGUGUAGGUAGCAGAGGUGCUUAAUAAGAUGUCACUGCUCAUAUCCUAGCAGGCCCUGAAAGCUUGCUCUUUGGGAAUGGAAGAAGCAUCGCAAUGACUGAAUCAGUCUAGAGCAUCUGCCCUGUUACAGUGAUGGCUGCACAUAAAAUUAAUUUUCAUUUGACUUUGCCAAUGGUUGGUGGAUAGAUAGUUGGUGUGUGAGCAGCUGUCUCAUCAGCAGUAGGUUGAUUAGCCCUAAUGAGUGCUGUUUUGCAUACAUAUGGAGCUUUGCUGCAUUGUUUCUAUUACGGCCUUACAUAAACCUUCAUAAAUCUUGUUUUCAGAGUGCUGGGGUGGCUUACUUGACCCCAUUGCAUUCAGGGAUAUGCUAUAACACUAGAAAACAUUUCAGCUAUUUUGAAUUCACUGAAUAAAAGAAAAUGACAGAGCGGAGUCAGCACAGUGUUAAAUACAGUACAUGCCACAGGUCUCGAUUCUCAGUCAUUGCAAGACAAAGCCUUCAGUCUCUGGCACAAAUUACUGUAUAUGUUCAGGUAUAAAAAUCCAUUAUACAGAAUACUCUGAAAACAGGCAGUGCCAUUCCCUAGAGCAGUGUUCCCCAACCAGUGGC